GGCUAAUUAUUGGUUAUCUGCAAAAUAACUUAGUAGUUCCGGCUAUUAGCUG
rnacentral:tRNA from 1 species